rnacentral:rRNA from 1 species
ACACGGACCAGACUCUACGGGAGGCAGCAGUGAGAAUAUUGGUCAUGACGCAAGUUGAACAUCCAUGCCGCGUGCAGGAUGAAUGCCUAUGGUUGUAAACUGCUUUCUGUACCAAGAACAGUACUUACGGGUAAGUAUUUGACGGUAGUACAGGAAAUAAGCAUCGGCUAACUCCGUGCCAGCAGACCCGCGGUUAUACCGGAGGAAGCCAGCGGUAUCCGGAUUCAUUAAGGUUAAAAGGUGCGCAGCCGGAAUUAAUAACCCAGUGGUUGAAAUCUUGCCGCCUUAACGGGUGAAAACUGCCAUUGAAACUGGUUAUUCUUUGAGUGUAGUUGAGGAAGGGCGGAAUGUUUAGUGUAACCGGUGAAAAUGCUUUAGAUAUUACACAGAACACCUAUUGCGAAAGGCAGCUUACUAAACUACUACUGACGUUGAGGCACGAAAGCGUGGGGAGCGAACAGGAUUAAGAUACCCUGGGUAGUCCACGCUGUAAACUAUGAUCACUCGUUGUUCGCGAUACAUUGUGAGCGACCAAGCGAAAGCAUUAAGUGAUCCACCUGGGGAUUACGUCGGCAACGAUGAAACUCAAAGGAAUUGACGGGGGCCCGCACAAGCGGAGGAACAUGUGGUUUAAUUCGAUGAUACGCGAGGAACCUUACCUGGGCCUAAAUGCAGAACGAUAUAUCGGGAAACUGGUAUUCCCUUCGGGGCGGACUGCAAGGUGCUGCAUGGUUGUCGUCAGCUCGUGCCGUGAGGUGUCGGGUUAAGUCCCAUAACGAGCGCAACCCUUAUUGUUAGUUGCCAGCGGGUAAUGCCGGGGACUCUAACGGAACUGCCAUCGUAAGGUGGAGGAAGGUGGGGAUGACGUCAAAUCAGCACGGCCCUUAUGUCCAGGGCUACACACGUGUUACAAUGGCCAGUACAAAGGGCAGCUACCUGGAGACAGGAU